UACGUAGGGCGCAAGCGUUGUCCGGAAUUAUUGGGCGUAAAGAGCUCGUAGGCGGUUUGUCGCGUCUGCUGUGAAAACCUAAGGCUCAACCUUGGGCUUGCAGUGGGUACGGGCAGACUAGAGUGCGGUAGGGGUGACUGGAAUUCCUGGUGUAGCGGUGGAAUGCGCAGAUAUCAGGAGGAACACCGGUGGCGAAGGCGGGGUCCUGGGCCAGUACUGACGCUGAGGAGCGAAAGCGUGGGGAGCAAACAGG
rnacentral:rRNA from 1 species